UUGGAAAUUAUCCCCAUGCCUAUUUUCCUGUAUUCGUCUAAUUUUUCUACUAUGAUGCAUUUAGGUUCCGAAAAACCGCCUCUAUUUCUCUAAAUUGUUUGCUUCUGGAUCCCUUCUUCUGGCAAUAUUUUUGAGGUUUCUGUGAGUGAUUGAAAGAGGGCACAAGUAUUCAAUGUUUUCUUGCGCCUCAAUCGAUCAUUUAAGACUGGAAAACAAUUAUUGAAGUACUCACGAGUUCUGGCUGCUAAGCUGCAUAACCUUCUAAAAUAUUAACUGAGUAAUUGUGAUAGUGUUGGCUUUUUGAAGAAACCAAAUGUGUGACAGUAAAGCCGGGAAUGCACCAUUGUUGGACUAUAUGCUCCAUUGUUGGACUUGCAGCCAUGCCUGCCAUAUGCUGACAUUUUGCAUUGCAGAAAGUAGAAUGGAUCUACACUUCUGAAGAGCUGAUAGCUUGUUAGUAUUAGAAAGCCUUUUGGGUGUGUAAACAAUGCAAACGUGUUUUCUUAUGCUCUGUAUGCCUACUGUGAUAUGUACGGAACAAAGAGUUGACAUUUCUUUGCAAACUCGCUGCUUUUGCAUUGACAUGUCUAUGUUUGCAUUUUGAGAAAAGGUUAAAUUAUCGAGCCAAUUGAUGUGCUGAUGCCCAGUCAAUUGUUUUAGAUGGUUCUGUGUGACAGUAUCACGGUACUAGCAUGAGGAAUUGCCUACAAAAGAACAUAGUACAGUAGUGAUGAUUAAUCGAUACCGAGAAGUCCCAACAAUUAUUUGGUAUAGUCAUGCUGCGUCCAACUUCCAAAUUCCAAAGAUGAUCAAUUCUUCCAGGUAAGUAAAAAAAAGGUUCAGGUGUAUUGUUGCUCAUGUAGGUAAAUGCUUACAGAACAAUUGCUGAAUACACUGAGAAAACAAAGAGGAAAAGAAUAAAUAUUGGACACUAGGGUCUUCUGUAUGACUUUGAGAAAUGAAUCUUCUGUACGAUUUCUCAAAGCACCAUUUUCUGUUGUUACUGACCAUUACUGAUGCACUACAUCUACCUGAGAUUUGAAAUAAGAUUCAGGUGUCACUUCCUCACUUGCCGUCAUGCAUGUAUUAAUUACAAAACAGUUGCAGGUGACAAGGCUUCAAACAAAGGCAAUAGCUGAUGGUAGACAGAGUAGGGCAUAGGGUAAACUGAAUAACUCUUUUUUGUGACUCGAUUGAUGAUUAUUUAUAUCUGGCACUAUUAUAUGUAACUAACUUCUGCCUGUAGAAAUUUGCAUAUUCUGUUAGUUCUGAACCUCUGGAAGAGCUUAUCUGAUGUUACAAUGGCAGAAACAACACAAAGGAUGUUGUAGUGGUAAAUGAGUGUGACCGACUGACAAAUGAACUUGUAGAAUCCAGAGAGAAAACCGCAUCACCGCGAUGUGAUAAGGUUACUUUGCUUCUUAAUUGGUAAAUGAUCUAUCGGCUGGCACUACACAAUCAACUGAAACUUUGGCAUGCCUGCUUCUGUUUGUUGUGUUCUUGUUGCUGUCUGUCUGGUGCGGUUAUGUCGCUGAAGAUUGUAUGGCGUGAGCGUGACCUCCAUGUUGUUGGGCCUUAGAUGUGCAGUCAUCAGGGUAUUUCCAUUUAGGAAUCUCUGAGGAUUUCUUUUUGGUUUUGAGCCACCAUCUUGAGGUUUCCAGAAUGAAUCUCAAGAACCGGCACCAUUGGCAGGCUUUUCUCGUUUCUGUAUUUGCGAUGGCAUCAUACGGGUGGCCAGAUGUCACAGGAAGAAAAACGUAGAAAGCGUCGCGAGUACCAACAAAAGUAUCGUCAGCGCAAGAAAGAGGCAUCACAGGAUGAAAAUCUUCAAAUGGAUUUACCCAUUCAGAUAUCACAAGUAAUGCCAGUCACUCCAGCUCUAACGAGUAUAUCUCAAGUUGAAUGUCGGCCACAUUCAUCGCCGAACCCUAACCGUGGAUGUUAUCCUUUUAAAAACAUCACAAAUAUCAUAAACACAGGUGGCCAAGAAAAUGGUGCACUGGUUGGUACUUCGUCGCCCAUUGAGCAGCCACAUGUAAUGAAGUCUACGAGUGGCCAUGGGGCCCAAUUGACCGAAAAGGAGAUAGAUGAAAAACGGCAAAAGCGGAAUGAGUACCAGCGUGGAUAUCGUCGAUGCAGGAAAGAAGAAGCAUCAGCCAGGGUCGAUGACAUAAAUUAUUACAGUCGAAUGCGAAUUUCUGCACUGUCCACACCAGGACAAUCCCAUGAAGGUGGAUUGCGUGGUACUCAGAUUAAUUUAAUUGGAACAAUGUAGUCUACACUCACUGGCAUUGUCGCGACGGGGCAAUCACAUAAUGAUGGAGGUCCAAAGCAUGGUACUCAAGCUUCCCAGAUUGGGAUGGCUCACUCUGCACUCACUAGAAUGCACACACCAGGGCUAUCAUGUCACAAUAAAGCCGACGGAGGCAUCAGAUCACAUGCACACUAUGAGGGUUUCAAGACUCCAUUUAGGGACGUGACCAAUACCAUCUCUUCAGGCAAAACCAUGGACGACAAGGAGGGGGAUAUUAAGGGGGAUAGACGGUUGUAUAUGGUGGAUUAUCGCAAACGAAAGAAAGCCGAAGCGACAACUGUUACUGAGGAUCCACGUUCAGAUGCAACCCCACAUACGAGGACGCCCGGAAAGUAAAAUUCAUGUACUCAUGGACCUGGGAAGCCAGUUGGUACAGACAGUGCUACUCCUUGUGAGAGUGAUGGAGAUAAUUGGCUCCAUAGAAAUAAUUCAUACCUACGGCGAAACAAACCGCCAAAAAAAGCAGUUCCGGCUGUGGAUGUGCCUUUGGUAACUCCUUGUGAGAGUGAUGGUGAUAAUUGGCUCCAUAGAAAUGAUUCAUAUGUAUGGCCAAACAAACAGUUAGAAAACGCAGUUCCGGAUGUAGAUGUUCCAUUGGUCAAUGUAACACCACCGACUGGCCCAGUUGGUGAUAGAAAAUCUGAUGGGCAUCCGCAAACUGAACCCUUUGAUGAUGGGUCUGAUUCUGAAUUUUGGGAUCCUGAUGAUCCACAUUCUGACCUUGAUGAGCACAUUGAGUCGGCCCAUCAGAAACGAGAUUAUCUUGAUGAUGAAGAAGGAAGGAUAUAUGCUGGAAACGGU